UGGGGAAUAUUGGACAAUGGGCGCAAGCCUGAUCCAGCCAUGCCGCGUGAGUGAUGAAGGCCCUAGGGUUGUAAAGCUCUUUCACCGGUGAAGAUAAUGACGGUAACCGGAGAAGAAGCCCCGGCUAACUUCGUGCCAGCAGCCGCGGUAAUACGAAGGGGGCUAGCGUUGUUCGGAAUUACUGGGCGUAAAGCGCACGUAGGCGGACAUUUAAGUCAGGGGUGAAAUCCCAGGGCUCAACCCCGGAACUGCCUUUGAUACUGGGUGUCUAGAGUUCGAGAGAGGUGAGUGGAAUUCCGAGUGUAGAGGUGAAAUUCGUAGAUAUUCGGAGGAACACCAGUGGCGAAGGCGGCUCACUGGCUCGAUACUGACGCUGAGGUGCGAAAGCGUGGGGAGCAAAGCAGGAUUAGAUACCCUGGUAGUCCACGCCGUAAACGAUGGAAGCCAGCUGUCGGCAAGUUUACUUGUCGGUGGCGCAGCUAACGCAUUAAGCUUCCCGCCUGGGGAGUA
rnacentral:rRNA from 1 species